rnacentral:rRNA from 1 species
AUGGCCAAGUCAGUGCCGUCGAAAUGGUUCAAUUUGUCGCGCUUCCUCGGGAUGACGGUGGACGUCACGAUCGGGAGCAAGAACCGGGAGUCGUCCAAGACGUUCACCAGCAGGAUACACCUGAAGAUGAGCCUGGAGAUGGUGUACCAACGUGCUAGACGCGCGGAUGCACUACAGCAGCGACCUGCAGCUGGCAGCGAAAAACCUCCGAAAGAGUGCCAUAGGCGUGCUGGAGGAGUGGAGGUGGGCAUCCUCAGCGCGCACGGCCCGGUCGGCAGCAAGAACCCCUACUGCAUUGCCAAGUGGGUGCGCACGCGCACGCUGCUGGGCACCGCUGCACCACAGUGGAACGAGCCGUACACCUGUGAUGUAUUCGACCUCAGCACCGUCAUCACGGUCGCCGUCUUGGACAGUAACCACAUCCACCGCGGUCAUGCAGUCAGACCAGCCGAGGACCAGAGGAUCGGCAAGGAUUCGCCACUGCGACCCUUGCCACUAGGCUACAGCCUAGUCCUCUGCUGCGGAAGAUACACCACACCCAUCCUGGCGAUGCAGAUGCUGGACAAGUCCGACCCGCCACUACAUAAGGAGGCGGUGGAGUACAUGCUGGAGGACGAUUCCCACAUGUUUAGCCUUCGUGGAAGCAAGGCAUACAUCUGCCGGAUCACCACGCUCUUCUCGAGUGUUGUCACCGUGGCCAAAUGGUUCGACGGUAUCUGCAAGUGGAAGAACCCAAUGACGACGAUUUUGGGGCACGCGGUGUUCCUGAAGCUGGUGCGCAACCCGGAGUUGAUCCUGCCCAUCGUGUUCCUAUGA